GAAAAACCAUCGCAGAUACAAGCGUAAGCAACCCUAUGUGAAACACGUGGCGAGUGAAUCGAGACAACGAGGAACGCCUGGCCAGCGUAACCUCCUUUGCCCGGGAGCGGAUGCAGAGUCUAUAGGAGUGAGGUAAAGCUGCAUCAACUUCAAGGACCUUAGGAGGAUUGCAGAGGAGGAGGUGUUUGCUGUCUUGAUGCAAAUUCAGGUAUUUACAAACAGUUGAUACCUGUGAACUAUCAGGAAAACAUCAGAAAGAACAUUCAAGGGAACUCGUCCCACAGCUCAACCCACGAAGUCUCCAUGCCGCCACUGGGAAUGUAGAAGG